rnacentral:rRNA from 1 species
UACGGAGGGAGCUAGCGUUGUUCGGAAUUACUGGGCGUAAAGCGCGCGUAGGCGGCUUUGCAAGUUAGAGGUGAAAGCCCGGAGCUCAACUUCGGAAUUGCCUUUAAAACUGCAUCGCUUGAAUCCGGGAGAGGUGAGUGGAAUUCCGAGUGUAGAGGUGAAAUUCGUAGAUAUUCGGAAGAACACCAGUGGCGAAGGCGGCUCACUGGACCGGUAUUGACGCUGAGGUGCGAAAGCGUGGGGAGCAAACAGG